AUCAGGAAGUCCGUGGUCUGUUAAGUAAUAUGCUGAAGACAGAUAUGCUGAAGACAAAUCUAGUCAUCAUAAACAACCAAGAGGAACAGAAAUUCCUAAUUUCAUUAAACAUACGUACUUGGAUCGGUCUGUCUGACAUAGAGACUGAGGGGACCUGGAGAUGGGUGGAUGGCACACCUCUGACUACAGCGUACUGGGGAGAAAAAGAGCCUAAUAAUGCUGGUGGAGGGGAAGACUGUGCCGAGAUUUAUCAUUGCAUUACUGAUCCUGUAAACAAAUGGAAUGACAAUUCAUGUACCUCUCAACUUAACUGGAUUUGUGAACAAACCAUUGAUUAACAAUACCUUGUUAUCUACAGUACAAUCACAAUGCAUUAAGGCUGUACACAAACAAUAAACAAUAUGACAUUUAGCAAAAAUGUGUAUCCAUUAUGACUUUUACAGGCUUAUGUUUCACAAGGACUACACCUCUUAUUUAUUCAUGUUUGUUUCCCACCGUGCACAUUG